GAUGAAAGUCCUGUAAAAAUGGAAAUUUAGUGUCAAAUAAGAGAGAGAGAGAGGUAGCGAAUAUUAAACUUGUUAUGUAUAAGAUACGUUUGUAAACAACUGUUUUAGUGAAAAUUUUAGACAAAAUUAAUGCAUUUUUUUUUUCUGAUUUUUCUUGUAUAUAGAUGAACGAUGGCUGUCAAUGGA